rnacentral:lncRNA from 1 species
AUCGAGAUUUUUAAUGAAGUGGGUUUUAUUACUCUUGACUGUUUUGUGAAAUCAAGUUACGUCUGUGAUAAAGAGUUAAAAUGGUGUCUAUAGGAUUGAGUAUGCAGAGUGAAUGAAAUGUAUUGGGUUAAUCUAACGAGACAGUUAGUGGAUACAAGAUUGUGAGUAUAAAGCGGUAUCAAAGAGUAGCAGUUUGGAU